rnacentral:rRNA from 1 species
ACGAGCGCAACCCUCGUCGUAUGUUGCCAGCGGAUAAUGCCGGGGACUCAUACGAGACUGCCGGGGUCAACUCGGAGGAAGGUGGGGACGACGUCAAGUCAUCAUGCCCCUUAUGUCUAGGGCUGCACGCAUGCUACAAUGGCCGGUACAGAGGGCUGCGAAACCGCGAGGUGGAGCGAAUCCCAAAAAGCCGGUCUCAGUUCGGAUUGGGGUCUGCAACUCGACCCCAUGAAGUCGGAGUCGCUAGUAAUCGCAGAUCAGCAACGCUGCGGUGAAUACGUUCCCGGGCCUUGUACACACCGCCCGU